CCUACGGGUGGCAGCAGUGGGGAAUGUUGGGCAGUGGGCGCAAGCCUGACCCAGCAACGCCGCGUGAAGGUAGAAGGCUUUCGGGUUGUAGACUUCUUUUAUGAGGGACGAAAGAAAUGACGGUACCUCAUGAAUCAGCCACGGCUAACUACGUGCCAGCAGCCGCGGUAAUACGUAGGUAGCAAGCGUGAUCCGGAUUUACUGGGUGUAAAGGGCGGGUAGGCGGGACUGCAAGUCAGAUGUGAAAAUUAUGGGCUGAACCCAUAACCUGCAUUUGAAACUGUAGUUAUUGAGGGAUGGGGAGGCAGGCGGAAUUCCGUGUGUAGGGGUGAAAUGCGUAGAUAGACGGAGGAACACCAGUGGCGAAGGCGGCCUGCUGGACAUUAACUGACGCUGAGGCGCGAAAGCGUGGGGAGCAAACAGGAUUAGAUACCCUGGUAGUC
rnacentral:rRNA from 1 species